GGGAAUGUGGCUCAGUGGUAGAGUGCUUGUUUAGCAUUCAUGAAGCCCUGGGUUCAAUUCCUCAGUACCA
rnacentral:tRNA from 1 species